UACAGAGGUCUCGAGCGUUGUUCGGAUUCAUUGGGCGUAAAGGGCGCGUAGGCGGCGGGGUAAGUCUGGUGUGAAAUCUCGGAGCUCAACUCCGAAAUUGCACUGGAUACUGCUCUGCUAGAGGGCUGGAGAGGAGAUCGGAAUUCACGGUGUAGCAGUGAAAUGCGUAGAGAUGUGGAGGAACACCAGUGGCGAAGGCGACUCUUUGGCCUGUAACUGACGCUGAGGCGCGAAAGCGUGGGGAGCAAACAGG
rnacentral:rRNA from 1 species